AUUGUCGCCCAUGAGAUCGGCCACGCCAUUGGGUUCGUGCACGAGCAGAGUCGCCCCGACCGUGACGACUAUGUGGUCAUCAAUUAUGGCAACAUCCAAACUGGCAGGGAAAACAACUUCAAUAAUUACAGCACGUCAGUGGUCAACACCUACGGCAUACCAUACGACUACUCAUCCGACAUGCACUACGGCUCUACGGGCUUCACCAACAACGGCAAGACGACCAUCGCCACCGUAUAUCCCUUGGCGCAGGAGCUCAUCGGCCAGCGCACGGGACUCUCUCACAGGGACAUACUAUUGGCCAACACCAUGUACGGCUGCAUCAAUAAGUGGCUUGCUGCUUGCGGAGUGAACGCCGACCUCUGCCAGAACGGCGGGUUUUAUGGAAAAAGCUGCGCUUGUGUGUGU